rnacentral:rRNA from 1 species
GCCGGCAGCUAGCUCUCUGCAACUCUCACAUGGUCGCCCACUGAAGCUAAGCAGGGCUGCACCUGGUCAGUACCUGGAUGGAAGACCACAUGGGAAAGCUAGAUUGCUGCAGGAA